rnacentral:rRNA from 1 species
CCUACGGUGCGCAGCAGUGAGGAAUAUUGGUCAAUGGGCGAGAGCCUGAACCAGCCAAGUCGCGUGAGGGAAGACGGUCCUAUGGAUUGUAAACCUCUUUUGUCGGGGAGCAAAAAGGCCUCGUGAGGCCACAAGUGAGAGUACCCGAAGAAAAAGCAUCGGCUAACUUCGUGCCAGCAGCCGCGGUAAUACGGAGGAUGCGAGCGUUAUCCGGAUUUAUUGGGUUUAAAGGGUGCGUAGGCGGACUGGAAAGUCAGCGGUAAAAUCGAGAGGCUCAACCUCUUUCCGCCGUUGAAAACGGCGGUCUUGAGUGGGCUAGAAGUAGGCAGAAUGCGUGGGGUAGCGGUGAAAGGCAUAGAUAUCA